GACGAACGCUGGCGGUGUGCUUAACACAUGCAAGUCGAACGUGACUUCCUUGCCCAUGCGUCGUGCUCGAGGCGGGAAGGGGUGAGUAACACGUGCCUACCAUCAACUGCAUUCUGGGUUACCUUAAGGAUAUUCGGGCUAAUACGGCACAGCAGCCACUGCUGCAAAGGGGGGGGUGGAACGUUUCGGCGGUUGGGGAUGUACUCGCCGCUUCUCACUUUGUUGGUGAGGUCGAGGCGUACCAAGAUUUUCACGGGUACCCGGCCUGAGAGGGUGAUCGGCGACAUUGUGACUGAGAUACAGCCCAGACUCCUACGGGAGGCAGCAGUGGGGAAUAUUGCGCAAUGGGCGGAAGCCUGAUGCAGCGACGCCGCGUGCGGGAUGACGGCCUUCGGGUUGUAAACCGCUUUCGCCUGUGACGAAGCGUGAGUGACGGUAAUGGGUAAAGAAGCACCGGCUAACUACGUG
rnacentral:rRNA from 1 species